GUGGGGAAUCUUGCGCAAUGGGCGAAAGCCUGACGCAGCCAUGCCGCGUGAAUGAUGAAGGUCUUAGGAUUGUAAAAUUCUUUCACCGGGGACGAUAAUGACGGUACCCGGAGAAGAAGCUCCGGCUAACUUCGUGCCAGCAGCCGCGGUAAUACGAAGGGGGCUAGCGUUGCUCGGAAUUACUGGGCGUAAAGGGCGCGUAGGCGGACAGCUUAGUCAGAGGUGAAAGCCCAGGGCUCAACCUCGGAACUGCCUUUGAUACUGGGUGUCUUGAGUAUGAGAGAGGUGUGUGGAACUCCGAGUGUAGAGGUGAAAUUCGUAGAUAUUCGGAAGAACACCAGUGGCGAAGGCGACUCACUGGCCCGUUACUGACGCUGAGGCGCGAAAGCGUGGGGAUCGAACAGGAUUAGAAACCCGAGUAGUCC
rnacentral:rRNA from 1 species